rnacentral:rRNA from 1 species
CAGCAGUAGCCACGGGAAUACGAGGGGGGCAAGCGUUGUUCGGAAUUAUUGGGCGUAAAGGGCGCGUAGGCGGUUUGACAAGUUUCAUGUGAAAUCUAUGGGCUCAACCCAUAGUCUGCAUGGAAAACUGUCGGGCUUGAGUAUGGGAGAGGUGAGUGGAAUUUCCGGUGUAGCAGUGAAAUGCGUAGAGAUCGGAAGGAACAUCUGUGGCGAAGGCGACUAUCUGGGCCAACACUGACACUGAGGCACGAAAGCGUGGGGAGCAAACAGGAUUAGAUACCCCCGUAGUCCCUGUCUCUUAUAA